AACGAACGCUGGCGGCAUGCCUAACACAUGCAAGUCGAACGAGACCUUCGGGUCUAGUGGCGCACGGGUGCGUAACGCGUGGGAACCUGCCCUUAGGUUCGGGAUAACUCCCCGAAAGGGGUGCUAAUACCGGAUAAUGUCUUCGGACCAAAGAUUUAUCGACUUUGGAUGAGCCCGCGUUGGAUGAGCUAGGUGGUAGGGUAAAAGCCUACCAAGGCGACGAUACAUAGCUGGUCUGAGAGGAUGAUCAGCCACACUGGGACUGAGACACGGCCCAGACUCCUACGGGAAGCAGCAGUGGGGAAUAUUGGACAAUGGGCGAAAGCCUGAUCCAGCAAUGCCGCGUGAGUGAUGAAGGCCUUAGGGUUGUAAAGCUCUUUUACCCGGGAUGAUAAUGACAGUACCGGGAGAAUAAGCUCCGGCUAACUCCGUG
rnacentral:rRNA from 1 species